UUCUCAAACUUGUUUGAUGAGGCACCAAAAAAGUCAAAGAGAGAGUCUCUAAAGCGUAGAAGACAAGAGACAAUGGAAGCAAUUGAAAAAAUUGAAAAGCUCUGGGAAGGCACCAAACACGAGAGGAGCGAGACUGAUUACAUGAGGGACAAGAUUCAUCAGCAAAACGAGGAGAUUACCAAAAUGAAAAGACAGAAACAGGAGUAUGAAAGCACAAUUGAGAAAAUGAGAGCACAAAUUGAACAAUUCAGCACAAGAUUAGUGCAAAAUGCAGAAGAAAUGAAAAAGGAAAGCAAUCUGGUUGAGCAAAUGAGCACUGAUCUCAAAAAGGAGAAAGAUAUUUUAGAUCGCAGACAUGACAAGAUUAAUUGUGAAAAGCAAGAACUGGAAUUAAUAAGGUAUGAGUCAAUACGAGCCCAGGAAGACAUCAAGAGAAGUCAUGAGAGUGCCAAACGUGAGAGGGAUGCAAUGGAAAAGGUGAAGAAGGACAUCCAAAAACAAAUACAUGAAAUAGAAAGAGGAAAAGAAGAGUGUAAACAGGUAGAACACAGACUGGAAGAGAUGAAGUUUGAGAUCCAGGCUGAGAGAGUGGACCUAGAAAAAAAGCGGGAGGACAUAUUGAGACAAAAGGAACACUUUGAACAAAUUAAAAAUGAAAUAAACAAGGUCAGAGAAGAGAUGGAGAGAAGUUUGAAUGAGGCCACAAAGGAGGAAAAAGAACAAAGAUCACUCAUCCAGCAAGAAAAAGAGGAACUGUUGAACAUUCAAGCUGACCUGAAAAAGGCAAAGGAGGAUUCAGAAAAAUUUAAAGAAGAGUCUAGUCUGGAGAGAGAUCAAUUAAACCAACUAAAAUCUGAGUUACAGAUGGAAAAAGAAAUCAUUGAGAAAAGAAAACUGGAGAUAGAUAGAAAAGAAACAGAGUUAGAGAAGGCCAGACGUGAAAUUGAAAUGACUCAGGAAGAUUUGGCAAGGAAUAAAGAAGAAAUGCAGCAAGAAAAAGAAAAGCUUGAACAGCUAGAGAAUGACCUCCAAAAGGCAAAGGAUGAUAUUGAAACAGAGAGAGAGGAGACAAAAAAUGAAAGAGAGAGGCUGGAGAAAUUCAAGUUCCAACUGAAAGAAGAAAACAAUUUUGCUAUGAGAAAAGCAGAAGAAGCCAAAAGAAAUUAUGACGAGCUUUGCCAGUUGAGACAUGAACUCGAACGAGAGAAAGUGGAAAUCCAGAACAAUGCAAAAAAAGAAAAGAAAGAAAUAGAUGUCAUAAGAGCAGCCCUGGAACAACGAAUGAAAGACACAGAUCAGAAAGUUGCCGAAGCAUCAAGGUCCAAACAUGAGGCAGAACAAAUGAAAGAGGACUUGAAGAAAGCAGAACAUCUGAUAGAGAAACAGUGGGAUGAGGUAAUUAACGCAAAAGAGGAGAUUGAGACAAGAAGGUUUGUGGCAGUAAAAGAGGUGAUGGAACAACAAAUGCAACUUCAAAGGGAGCAAGAAAAGCUUGAGUGCAUGAAAACUGAAGUGGAAAAAAUGAAAACAGAGAUGGAGAUGAUGGACAGAGAGCUCCUGCAGAAGAGGACAUUCGAGCAGAUCAAGCAUGAGAUAGUAAUGGUUGAACAAAUGAAAGCUGAGGAGCAGAAAGAGAGAGAAGAGCUGGAUAUAAGAAAGACUGAAUCAGCAAGAGAACAAGAUGAACUGGAGCGAAUCCAGAUGGAAACAUUGAGAGCCACCGACGAGCUAGAUAAGAGAAGGUAUGAGACAAUAAGAGAAGGACUUCAGCAUCAAGCCAAACAGCAAAAAGAUAUAGAUGAGAUAGAAAGAACAAGAACACAAACCAUGCAAGAAAAAGAAAUCAUACAACAAAACAUGGAGGAGUUGAUCCCAGAAAGAGAACCAGUUAAAUGUGAUAUGAAAAAACAGAUGGACGAAAUAAGCCACAAACUUAAAGAAAUUAAACAAGAAGAGAACAAAAUCAUUGAAAUGAGGGCAGAGAUUAUGCUAGAGAAAGAUCAUCUUGAAAGGAUGAGAGAGGAAAACCAAAGAGCAAAGGAACCUUAUGAGAAGAUGAAAGUAGAAAUAAACAGAGUAAGAGAAGAGAUGGAGCUACUUUGGGAUGAGGUGGAAAGGGAGGAGAGAGAAGAGAGGAAGAAAUUACAGGCCGAGAGGGAAGAAAUGAAUAAGAAAGUAGAAGAAAUGCAGACAGAGAUGCAUGCCAUUCAAGUACUGAAGGAUCACUUGAAGAAGCAGAAAGAUGACACCGAGACCAAGAUGGAACAGAUUAAAAAAGAAAUUGAAAGUCUGGAAAAAGUGAAAGCUGAUAUUGAAAGACAGAAGGAAGACAUUGAGAAGACAAAGGUGCAGACCAAGAGGGAAAGAGAUGAGCUGGAGAGAAUGAGGGCUGAUAUUCUGAGACAGAAUGAGGAAAUUGAAAACAGAAUGCAAAAAGUUCAGCUGGAGAUGAAUGAUAUGAAACAUCUGAGGGAUGAAAUUCAAAGUCAAAGAGAGGAACUGGAGGACAGAAUGCAGAAGGCAAAACGAGAGAUGGGAGAGAUGGAGAUCUUAAGAGCUGAGAUGGACAGGAAAAAGAAGGACCUAGAACAUCGAGUAAGAAGAACAAUGAGAAUGAAGAGUCAAAUGGAAAACAUGAAGGCUGAGUUGGACAAGGCAAGAGAUGAAAUCCAUAAAAAAGAAAAAAGUGACUGGGAAAAGUAUGAGAUGGAAACGUUUAAGAGUGACCAUCUGAAAGCCAGAGAAGAGUUUGAGAAUAGACUAGAUGAGACAGACCAAGUCAAUGAUGAGAUUCUAAGACUCAUUUUUGAAGUUGAGGCAAUCAGAGACAUGGUGUGGAGAACUAAGGUCAGUAUGCUAGAUAGGUUGGAAGCAAGCAACAUUGAGACUGUUGACAAAGAUCUGGUGAAUGCCGAACUACAGAGGCUAAUUCAAGAAAUUGAGCACAUAAGAGAACUACUAAGAAGAAUGAAACAUGAAAUGGAGCAAACUAAAGAGCAUAUUGCAAGAGAGAAGGAUGACUUGAAACUUGUGAAGAUGGACAUUCAUCGUAAGAGGAAAGAACUGGAACAGAAGGUCGAGACCAUCCUGAAGGAGAAAGAUGAAUUAGAACUUAUGAAGCUGAAGAUACACCAACAAAAACAUGAUCUAGAACAAAGGAUAAAUGACUUUGAGAGGGAUAAGAGAGAGACUGAUCUGAUGAAAGAUGGUAUUUGCAAAGUCUCAGAAAAAAUUGAACAAGACAAGGAACAAAUUAUGAGAACAAAAGAGAAGAUUCACUUGGAUUUGGAGGAACUCAAGAAAGAAAAGGUCAUUGUACAAAACAUGAAACUUGAGAUGAAGCCAAGUCUGGAAGACUCUGGAAUUGGAGGAGAGCUUGAAAAAGAAGAUGUUGAGGACUCAUCAAUAAAUCCAAUACUGACGAUAAAGGUGGAAACUGCAAUGGAAAAGGC
ensembl:lncRNA